GACGAACGCUGGCGGCGUGCUUAACACAUGCAAGUCGAGCGGUAAGGCCCUUUCGGGGGUACACGAGCGGCGAACGGGUGAGUAACACGUGGGUGACCUGCCCUCAGCUCUGGGAUAAGCCUGGGAAACCGGGUCUAAUACUGGAUAUGACUCCAUGACGCAUGUUGUGGGGUGGAAAGCCUUGUGCGGCUGAGGAUGGGCCCGCGGCCUAUCAGCUUGUUGGUGGGGGAUGGCCUACCAAGGCGACGACGGGUAGCCGGCCUGAGAGGGCGACCGGCCACACUGGGACUGAGACACGGCCCAGACUCCUACGGGAGGCAGCAGUGGGGAAUCUUGCGCAAUGGGCGAAAGCCUGACGCAGCGACGCCGCGUGAGGGAUGACGGCCUU
rnacentral:rRNA from 1 species